rnacentral:rRNA from 1 species
UACGUAGGGUGCGAGCGUUGUCCGGAAUUAUUGGGCGUAAAGGGCUCGUAGGCGGUCUGUCGCGUCGGGAGUGAAAAACUCAGGGCUUAACCCUGAGCCUGCUUCCGAUACGGGCAGGACUAGAGGUAUGCAGGGGAGAACGGAAUUCCUGGUGUAGCGGUGGAAUGCGCAGAGUAUCAGGAGGAACACCGGUGGCGAAGGCGGUCUCUGGGCAUUACCUGACGCUGAGGAGCGGAAAGUGUGGGGAGCGAACAGG